rnacentral:rRNA from 1 species
AAGUCGUAACAAGGUUUCCGUAGGUGAACCUGCGGAAGGAUCAUUAAUGAGUUGGGGUCACUUGUGGGCCCAAAUCUCCAACCCCUUGUGUAAUUACUUAUUUCUUUUGCUUUGGUAUGGUUUACAUCUGCCAGGGCAACUUCAAAACUCCAAUAAUGUAAAUGUCUCGAAGAAAAAACUUAAAAAACUUAAAAAAAACUUUCAACAACGGAUCUCUUGGUUCUGGCAUCGAUGAAGAACGCAGCGAAAUGCGAUAAGUAAUGUGAAUUGCAGAAUUCAGUGAAUCAUCGAAUCUUUGAACGCAUAUUGCGCCCCUUGGUAUUCCGAGGGGCAUGCCUGUUCGAGCGUCAUUAACACCCAUCAAGCUUGGCUUGGUAUUGGGCUACUCGUUUUUCCCCAAGGUGAAAAACGUGCCCUAAAAUCAGCGGCGGUGCAGCUGGCCUUCAAGCGUAUUAAAAUAAAGAGUCGCUUUUGACAGACCAUGUUUGGACUUGCCGGACAACUCAUUUUCUAAAUCGUUGACCUCGGAUCAGGUAGGGAUACCCGCUGAACUUAAGCAUAUCAAUAAGCGGAGGAAAAGAAACCAACAGGGAUUGCCUCAGUAACGGCGAGUGAAGCGGCAACAGCUCAAAUUUGAAAUCUGGCCGCAAGGUCCGAAUUGUAAUUUGUAGAGGGAGUCUCGGCCAAGACACCGGUCUAAGUUCCUUGGAACAGGACGUCACAGAGGGUGAGAAUCCCGUACGUAACCGGCCGUCAAGACCAUGUGAGACCCCUUCGACGAGUCGAGUUGUUUGGGAAUGCAGCUCAAAAUGGGUGGUAAAUUUCAUCUAAAGCUAAAUACUGGCCAGAGACCGAUAGCGCACAAGUAGAGUGAUCGAAAGAUGAAAAGCACUUUGGAAAGAGAGUUAAACAGUACGUGAAAUUGUUGAAAGGGAAGCGCUUGCAGCCAGACUUGCCUGUGGAUGAUCAGCCAUUUUUCUCGAAGAACGGUGAAUCUCAUUCACGGUCAGGCCAGCAUCAGUUUUGGCGGCCGGAUAAAGGCCUUGGGAAUGUGACUUCCUUUGGGGAGUGUUAUAGCCCAGGGUGUAAUGCGGCCAGCUGGGACUGAGGACCGCGCAUUUUUUGCUAGGAUGCUGGCGUAAUGGCUGUCAGCGACC